GUAGGGGGCAAGCGUUGUCCGGAUUUAUUGGGCGUAAAGCGCGUGUAGGCGGCCAGGUAGGUCCGCUGUGAAAACCCGAGGCUCAACCUCGGGACGUCGGCGGAAACCCUUUGGCUAGAGUCCGGAAGAGGAGAGUGGAAUUCCCGGUGUAGCGGUGAAAUGCGCAGAUAUCGGGAAGAACACCCGUGGCGAAGGCGGCUCUCUGGGACGGUACUGACGCUGAGACGCGAAAGCGUGGGGAGCGAACAGGAUUAGAUACCCUGGUAGUCCACGCCGUAAACGAUGGGUGCUAGGUGUAGGCGGUGUCGACUCCGUCUGUGCCGAAGUUAACGCAUUAAGCACCCCGCCUGGGGAGUACGGCCGCAAGGCUAAA
rnacentral:rRNA from 1 species